rnacentral:lncRNA from 1 species
UGAACACCUUAUAAUGACUUAUCACUAUCCUCCACUCCCAUUAUAGAUGCACAAACACAUGCAGGUACAGAUGGUAUCUCCCAGUUUGGGUCAUCCGACAUUGACUAUAAUACCAUACUUAAACCAGGUAAUACACAUGACACCCUUAAAAUUAGAGUGCAUAUGUGAUUUGGAAAGUAUUUUUCUCAUAAAACGUUUAUAUAUGAAUCUAAGCUUUGUCACCAUUUAAUGUUAUAACCAGCCCAUGGUCUUUGUUUCAGGAAUUGCUUCUGCUUUGAGUCCUACCAUGAUAGAAUCAAUUUCCUCUGUGCUGCGUUCCAGAGGAAGGUAUAUACUGGAAUGACCCAAAGUUUGUGAAACAUCUCUUAGAGAGCCUGGCCAUUGUCACCAUAACUAGAUGAAUGGCCACUGCUCCAAUACAGUAUCAAAUGUGUUUAAUUGAAUUCAGUAUCAAAUGUAUUCUACUGGGGAAUAGCCAAAGGAUGCCCACGUGGAUGCAAGAGAGAAGUUCAGACUCAUUUAUGUACCACUCGCCUGUAAACCCCCAAAUCCACAUCCAAAAUCAAGAAGAUAUCCACGUGCCAUCUUUGGGAAGGCCUUGAGGGUAAGUAUUGUUUCUGGUUGGAAGACAGCAAGGCACAGAGAGGAAUAAACUUGGAAUGUCUUCACGAGUAGAUGUCAGCUCUUAACUGUCUUAGCAUUAGCCUGGCCUGGGAUUUCAAUAAAUGUGUGGAAUAAGUGUCUGAGUAAAAGUGAUUCCUCUGGUGGUUCCUAG